AGAUCCGCGUCCCGACGGUUCGAAGACGCCAUCAAAGAAACCGGCGGCGAGGAGCGCAUCCCGCAGGGGAAGGCCCGCGGCCUGCGUGGGCCGCGACGGGGACCGGUGCGCUGGCAGGCACUUCAUGCCGGGACAGCUAAAGCCAAGUUUACAGCAGAGCCUGGCACAGUACCCGAACCACAAGGAGAUAGCAGCUACUGUGAUUGGACACGUUCAAGGGAAGAGUGACGAGACCCUCCCCACACCAAGCUUUCUCCAUCUCCAAAGCCUAUGUCACCUCUGUCUUCAGAAUGUCCCCUGCUGCAGUAAGCGGAAGGUCUUCUUCCACUGGAGUCUUCAGCCUUCCAGAAUGAAGAAUUCUAAGAACCAGGUGACCGGCAAUCCAAGGGCUACAGGUCAAUGUCGUGUCCUCAGCUUGGAGAAUGGGUAGCAGAGGAAAGAGACUGCUGGGAUACAUCCACUCAAAGCAUGACAUAGAGCACCCCAAACUCUAAAGUUGAAGCUUGUGAGCAUCCUUGCUACAGAGGGCUCCGUGCCUGGGUGACAGGGUUGUUCAUUAGGGGACCUUUUCAGGGAAGUUCCUGGGGCACCCCAUCUGUACUGGAACUUCAGCUUCAGAGUUAGGCUGGGAACCAGUGGGUCCCUCCUCAGUGAAUAGGUGUUGGGGUCUCCCUGGCUCAGUCAUGGGUGGCUCUUCCAGCCCAGAGCACUGGAUCCUCUCUGCGUUCCUUUCUUCUGAGCACCAGAGCCAAUUAGGGCACAGGUGUGUGCUGCUUUCCACCUGACUAAGGACAUACAGCCUUGUGGUGGCUUUUCUCAUAGCCCCUCCUUUCUCUUCCAGUAUGUAUUCACAUGACACAAGCAGAUGCACACACUACCAACACAUCUGAUACAGGUAUUAAAUAAACAUGAUUUCAUAACCUCCACAGGCAAGGACACCCAAUCAACCUAAUAACCAUAUAAGAAGAAAUGCUUGAAAGUAAGAGUUGGUUCUCUCUAUUUCAUUUCAAAUAAGCACGGCCACACUGUUCAUCGUCUAAACCACUCAGACUCGCAGUAAAUAGGCUCAUACUGGCGUUGCUCUAAAUACAUUAUUUAUUUUGUU
rnacentral:lncRNA from 1 species